GACCGCCCGUUUCGGUUACGUAUUGCUCUGGGAGCAUGGAGGUAUCUUUCAGAGGUUCGAUCAUGGCUCAGAUUGAACGCUGGCGGGAUGCUUUACACAUGCAAGUCGAACGGCAGCACGGACUUCGGUCUGGUGGCGAGUGGCGAACGGGUGAUAUGUAUCGGAACGUGCCCUGGCAGCAGGAUAUGUGGCGUAGCCUCAGCCAUACGCCCGCUGGAAAGCGGGGACCUUCGGGCCUCGCACUAUUAAACAUGACCGAUAUCGGAUUAGCUAGUUGGUGGGGUAACGGCUCACCAAGGCGACGUCCAGCCAGCAGCUGGUUUGAGGACGACCAGCCACACCGUUUGAACUACGGCCCAGACUCUGCGGAGAGGCAACGGUGAAAUUUUGGACAAUGCGGAAACCUGAUCGACCAUCCGCGUGCGCGAUGAAGGCCUUCAGUUAUCAUACUUUUGGCGGAAAAGAAACGGCACAAGGUUAACCACGCGCAACUGACGUACCUGCAGAAUAAGCACAACUAACUACAUUACUGCGCCAGCGCGGUAAUACAGCGGGUAAAGCAUUAAUCGGAAUUACUGGGCGUAAAGCGUGCGCGAGCGGUUCGGAAAGAAAGAUGUGAAAUCCCAGAGCUUAACUUUGGAACUACAUUUUUUUAGCGCUACCGAGCUAGAGUGUGUCGAGGAGGUGGGAGUCCGCGUGUAGCAGGAGAAUGCGUAGAUAUGCGGAGAGACACCGAUGGCGAAGGCAACCUCCUGGGAUAACACUGACGCUCAUGCACAGCCAGUAAGGGAGCAAACGGGAUUAGAUACCCUGGUAGUCCACGCCCUAAACGAUGUCAACUAGCUGUUGAGGCCUUCGGGCCUUGGUAGCGCAGCUAACGCGUGAGUUGACCGCCUGGGGAGAGCGGUCGCAAGAUUAAAACUCAAAGAAAUUGACGGGGACCCGCACAAGCGGUGGAUGAUGUGGAUUAAUUCGAUGCAACGCGAAAAACCUUACUACCGCCAGAGGCGUAUGCGGAAUCCGAAGAGAUUUGGGAGUGCUCGCAAGGGAACCGGAACACAGGUGCUGCAUGGCUGUCGUCAGCUCGUGUCGUGAGAUGUUGGGUUAAGUCCCGCAACGAGCGCAACGCGUCCAUUAGUUGCUACGAAAGGGCACUCUAAUGAGACUGCCGGUGACAAACCGGAGGAAGGUGGGGAUGACGUCAAGUCCUCAUGGCCCUUAUGGAGCGUUGAGGGCUUCACACGUCAUACAAUGGUCGGGACAGAGGUCGCCAACCCGCGAGGGGAGCCAAUCCCAGAAACCGAUCGUAGUCCGGAUCGCAGUCUGCAACUCGACUGCGUGAAGUCGGAAUCCUUCAGUAAUCGCGGAUCAGCAUGUCGCGGUGAAUACGUUCCCGGGUCUUGUACACACAUCACACCAUGGGAGUAGGUUUUACCAGAAGUAGUUAGCCUAAACCGUAAGGAGGGCGAUUACCACGGUAGGAUUCAUGACUGGGGUGAAGUCGUAAUAAAGGAAUUAAG
rnacentral:rRNA from 1 species